rnacentral:lncRNA from 10 species
CAGCCUCCCCAUGUGGCUUGGACUCCACAGUUUGGCCAAUGAGCUCCAAGAUCAAGCGUUCCAAAAGGUCAAGUCCCAGUAUGCAAGCACUUACCAAGCUCUGCUUGUCAGUUCAAUAAUGUGGCCAAGAAUGACAUCCCUGCAAAAUCCUGAUUUCUGGCUUUACUGGAGGAGUCAGCAGAACUGGAAACCCCAGGAUACCUUUUGUGCUGUGCUGUUGUGCUCGGUAUUUCUAGCAUUUCCGGUAAUUUUCUCCCGUUCCCACCAGGUACACUGGUUUGCUGCCCCUAUCCGUAGUCUCGUCCGGAUCGACAGUAGUGGCACCUCCCCUGGCAACCAGGCAAUCAGGUGGCACAUACAGGUUCUAUGAGGGGUGACCACAGCCUGGGUGCUGGGAGAGAAGGUGGCAGAGUGGAAAAGAGCUAUUCCAGCCAGGCCCUCCCGCACCCCCACUUGGAUCUUCUCUCUUGAGGGACUCCCAGCCUCCCUAUGGAAGAGCAGCCAACCUAGAAUCUGCCCCUAGACUCUGGGCCGUCUGUUUUCUCCUCUUCCACCCCUCCCCGCAUGGGGCUGGUGCAGCCGCAUACUCAGGCUUGAGAGGUCAGCCUGCGCGGGCUCCCUCUUCCCAAGGAAGAGGAUCUUGGGCUGGCCCAGAUACCGCUUCUCCUGAAGAAGGAUUUCAGUCAGACUACGAGGACUGGGAAAUCCUAAUUCAAAUCAUUCUAAACAAUCUUAAGAAAAGGAAGUUCCAUGAUCCUUUGAAACAGCCCACAGCUGAAGAUCUGAUGGCUGCUGUUCUUCACCUUGCUAAGUAGUUCACUGGCUCCUGGCUGGCGCCCCCAUCUGCUGCCCCAGCUUGAAGAAAAGCAAGAUGGCGCCUCCCCUCAUCAAAAACUACUGUCUGGCCCAGGAAACCAGGAGGGCAGGCGGGUGACUUACCUUCCAGGCAGUGCAUGGGGAAUUGCAGAAAGGGCUCUCCCUGACCUGGCCUCCCACUAAGGUCUAGUCCUCCAGGGGCUUUGGGCUUCGAGGGGGCAACUCCUCCUGGUGUGGAGGCUGGGAACAGGCAAGUGAUGCUGACGGAAGGAUGUCCCGAGGAAGAGCCUCACGCUGCUCUCGCCUACAAUUAUUUUUCUAUUGGCUGAUACAUGUUAAAUACAAAACUCACAUCAGGAACGAGAAUAUAAGUCAGCCUCUGGCAUUUAUGCUGAGUGGGAUGAUUGAUAGUCACUUAAAUGUGUAAUCCAAUCCUGCUAAUUUUUCAGUAGCUCGAUGCAUCCCCAGGAGAACGCAGAAUUUCUUUGCAGGGCACAGCCACCACCACCAACUGUUUUCUUUCCCAUAGAAGGUACAUUUCUGUUCCAGAAACAUACUCGUUCCUUUGUGUAGAAAACUUUGCAUGAGGCCCGGCGCAGUGGCUCGCGCCUGUAAUCCCAGCAUUUUGGGGGGCCGAGGGGGGGCAGAUCACUUGAGGUCAGGAGUUCGAGACCAGCCUGGGCAACGUGGUGAAACCCCAUCUCUACUAAAAAUACAAAAAUUAGCCGGGCAUGAUGGUACACGCCUGUAAUCCCAGCUACUCAGGAGGCUGAGGCACGAGAAUCACUUGAACCCAGGAGGCAGAGGUUGCAGUGAGCCGAAAUCAUGCCACUGCACUCCAGCCUGGGUGACAGAGUGAGACUCGGUUUCAAAAAAAAAAAAAUUGCAUGACAUAUGACAUACAAGACAUAGGCCAGGACUACAGAGGUUAACUAACUAUAUUAUCUGGUUGGUCAGCCCACACAGGGCAAACCCACUGUACUGACAGACAUCAUUUAGAAAACUUGGUACACCUUCGAAUCCAUUUUUAAUUUACAGAAAAAUACUGUGCUUAUCUCCAAGGAUUAUAACCAACUGAUAAUAUGGAAGCAUAUGCUCCCCUUCUGAGCAAAUGAUGACUUAUGUUCCUUUCCCAUCAGUACAAAGAAGAGGUAGAGUGUUUGAUUGCUAAGACUCUAAGAGUGGAAGAGAAUCCUACCUAAAAAUGAGCUUUUAGAAUGCAGAAAUAGUGCCCUGGUUUUGUUUGGCUAAAAGCCAAUGGGCUUCAUCAGCUCAGCGCAAAGAAAUGUCCCAAAUAUGGGAGAGAUGGACAGGGAAGAUGGAUGGCAGCCUGGCUGAUUUCAAGGCCAGGAGUCAUGGCCUGGGCCACCAUCCUGUCUGGUGAGGGGGGAAAGGACCAUGUUGGAAGCACUGGUGGCCACGUCUAGGAUUAACGUUUUAUCAGCAGUAACUGGGAGAGUUGGAAACGUUGGACUUCAGACUCGACAUUGCCACUAGAACCUGUAGCGUGGAAUCCCUUCGAGCAAGCCCUAGAGUGCCUGAAAUGGUCUAUCACUAUCCCCUACAGCUGCUGCUGUGUUCCAGACCCUUCCUUUCUCUCCCGUGGACUGAUGCAGGAGCUUCCAGCCAAAUGGCUGCUCCUCUCCCCAGUCUUCCCCCCUGCUAACUCCAUCCUUCCUGCUGCUGCCAAAGCUUCCUCACUAAAACAUAGAACAGAUGAAUUGGAGAAAGGCCAGUCAUCCUUGGCUCUAUAGCAUCUCUCAGGAUUGCUGAACCACAUAUGUGUGCAUGUAGAUGUGAAUUUAGGUGUUAUGCAUGAACACAUGAACCAUGGAUCCCCACCCAGGCAGACCUUAUAGAGAUAAGGUAUAUUUUCUCCCCCAGGACAUUUCAUUCUUCUGCAGUGACAGGUCCUCUGUCUCCUAAUCCCACCAUCCUCUGGCCCAUCAGGAAGGCUCGAGGUUUACCCCAGCCUCAUCUCUCCCUCCAGAAAGCCACUUUCUUGGACAAAGAUGCUUACAUCCUGCAGCUCUUUCUCCACGCCCUUCUUGAAUGACUUCUACUUGCAAGGUGGCUGAGUACAUCACACAUUGGACAAGGGAUUACCUCACCUGACUCCCUCCACCUGUGACCCCAUGGUAUCAUCUUCUGUACAUCCACAGCAAACCCACUGGGACCGAAACAACUAGAGAAACCCGAAGACCUAGCAAAUGCCAUUUUGGUGAGGACAGAGACAUUUCCUGUUUCCAUCUCUGCUUUAUCCCCUGAGCCUUGCACAGUGCCUGG